GCCAGGCGCGGUGGCAUGUGCCUGUAGUCCCAGCUACUCAGGAGGCUGAGGUGGGAGGAUCGCUUGAGCCCAGGAGUUCUGGGCUGUAGUGCGCUAUGCUGAUCAGGUGUCCGCACUAAGUUCGGCAUCAAUAUGGUGACCUCCCAGGAGCGGGGGUCCACCAGGUUGCCUAAGGAGGGGUGAACCGGCCCACGUCGGAAAUGGAGGAGGUCAAAACUCCUGUGCUGAUCGGUAGUGGGAUCGCGCCUGUGAAUAGCCACUGCACUCCAGCCUGGGCAACAUAGCGAGACCCAAUCUCUU
ensembl:misc_RNA Metazoa_SRP Metazoan signal recognition particle RNA